AAAACUUGUUUUCUUUGCUGACGAGCGGCGGACGGGUGAGUAAUGCUUGGGAAUAUGCCUUUAGGUGGGGGACAACUGUUGGAAACGACUGCUAAUACCGCAUGAUGUCUACGGACCAAAGGAGGGGAUGCUUUUGCACCUUUCGCCUAUUGAUUAGCCCAAGUGGGAUUAGCUAGAUGGUGGGGUAAUGGCCUACCAUGGCGACGAUCCCUAGCUGGUUUGAGAGGAUGAUCAGCCACACUGGGACUGACACACGGCCCACACUCCUACGGGAGGCAGCAGUGGGGAAUAUUGCACAAUGGGGGAAACCCUGAUGCAGCCAUGCCGCGUGUGUGAAGAAGGCCUUAGGGUUGUAAAGCACUUUCAGUUGUGAGGAAGGUAGCGUAAUUAAUACCUGCGUUAUUUGACGUUAGCAACAGAAGAAGCACCGGCUAACUCCGUGCCAGCAGCCGCGGUAAUACGGAGGGUGCGAGCGUUAAUCGGAAUUACUGGGCGUAAAGCGUACGCAGGCGGCUAAGUCAGUCAGAUGUGAAAGCCCGGGGCUUAACCUCGGAACGGCAUUUGAUACUGCUUAGCUAGAGUUUUGUAGAGGGUGGUAGAAUUUCAGGUGUAGCGGUGAAAUGCGUAGAGAUCUGAAGGAAUACCAGUGGCGAAGGCGGCCACCUGGACAAGAACUGACGCUCAUGUACGAAAGCGUGGGGAGCAAACAGGAUUAGAUACCCUGGUAGUCCACGCCGUAAACGAUGUCUACUAGUUGUCUGAGA
rnacentral:rRNA from 1 species